CCAAUAGCGUAUAUUAAAGUUGUUGCAGUUAAAAAGCUCGUAGUUGAAUUUCGGGGUUAGUAGGCUGGUCAUGCCUCUGGUAUGUACUGGUCUCACUGAUUCCUCCUUCCUGAUGAACCGUAAUGCCAUUAAUUUGGUGUUGCGAGGAAUUUGGACUGUUACUUUGAAAAAAUUAGAGUGUUUAAAGCAAGCUAACGCUUGAAUACAUUAGCAUGGAAUAAUGAAAUAGGACGUUCGAUCCUAUUUUGUUGGUUUCUAGGAUUGACGUAAUGAUUAAUAGGGAUAGUUGGGGGCAUUAGUAUUCAAUUGUCAGAGGUGAAAUUCUUGGAUUUAUUGAAGACUAACUACUGCGAAAGCAUUUGCCAAGGAUGUUUUCAUUAAUCAAGAACGAAAGUUAGGGGAUCGAAGACGAUCAGAUACCGUCGUAGUCUUAACCAUAAACUAUGCCGACUAGGGAUCGGAUGAUGUUAAUUUUUUAAUGACUCAUUCGGCGCCUUACG
rnacentral:rRNA from 1 species